UGAAUCUUAAGUUAUAUAAACUAUGAGCCUUCCAAGCUUAAAAAAAUUUAUUAGAUUUAA
rnacentral:tRNA from 1 species